rnacentral:rRNA from 1 species
AUAGGGGAGCCGUAGGGAAACCGAGUCUUAACUGGGCGAAUGAGUUGCAGGGUAUAGACCCGAAACCCGGUGAUCUAUCCAUGGGCAGGUUGAAGGUUGGGUAACACUAACUGGAGGACCGAACCGACUAAUGUUGAAAAAUUAGCGGAUGACUUGUGGAUGGGGGUGAAAGGCCAAUCAAACCGGGAGAUAGCUGGUUCUCCCCGAAAGCUAUUUAGGUAGCGCCUCGUGAACUCAUCUUCGGGGGUAGAGCACUGUUUCGACUAGGGGGUCAUCCCGACUUACCAACUCGAUGCAAACUGCGAAUACCGAAGAAUGUUAUCACGGGAGACACACGGCGGGUGCUAACGUCCGUCGUGAAGAGGGAAACAACCCAGACCGCCAGCUAAGGUCCCAAAGUCAUGGUUAAGUGGGAAACGAAGUGGGAAGGCUCAGACAGCCAGGAUGUUGGCUUAGAAGCAGCCAUCAUUUAAAGAAAGCGUAAUAGCUCACUGGUCGAGUCGGCCCGCGCGGAAGAUGUAACGGGGCUAAACCAUGCACCGAAGCUGCGGCAGCGACACAAAGUGUUGUUGGGUAGGGGAGCGUUCUGUAAGCCUGCGAAGGUGUACUGUGAGGUAUGCUGGAGGUAUCAGAAGUGCGAAUGCUGACAUAAGUAACGAUAAUGCGGGUGAAAAACCCGCACGCCGGAAGACCAAGGGUUCCUGUCCAACGUUAAUCGGGGCAGGGUGAGUCGACCCCUAAGGCGAGGCUGAAAAGCGUAGUCGAUGGGAAACGGGUUAAUAUUCCCGUACUGGUGGUAACUGCGAUGGGGGAACGGAGAAGGCUAGGUUGUCCGGGCGACGGUCGUCCCGGUUCAAGCAGGUAGGCAGAGUGAUUAGGCAAAUCCGGUCACUUAAUGCUGAGAUGUGAUGACGAACCACCAAGGUGGUGAAGCAAUUGAUGCCCCGCUUCCAGGAAAAGCCUCUAAGCUUCAGGUUACCAACAAUCGUACCCCAAACCGACACAGGUGGUCAGGUAGAGAAUACUCAGGCGCUUGAGAGAACUCGGGUGAAGGAACUAGGCAAAAUGGUGCCGUAACUUCGGGAGAAGGCACGCUGGCGGUAGGUAAAGUCCCUCGCGGACGGCGCUGAAGCCAGUCGAAGAUACCAGCUGGCUGCAACUGUUUAUUAAAAACACAGCACUGUGCAAACACGAAAGUGGACGUAUACGGUGUGACGCCUGCCCGGUGCUGGAAGGUUAAUUGAUGGGGUCAGCCGUAAGGCGAAGCUCCUGAUCGAAGCCCCAGUAAACGGCGGCCGUAACUAUAACGGUCCUAAGGUAGCGAAAUUCCUUGUCGGGUAAGUUCCGACCUGCACGAAUGGCGUAAUGAUGGCCAGGCUGUCUCCACCCGAGACUCAGUGAAAUUGAACUCGCUGUGAAGAUGCAGUGUACCCGCGGCAAGACGGAAAGACCCCGUGAACCUUUACUAUAGCUUGACACUGAACAUUGAGCCUUGAUGUGUAGGAUAGGUGGGAGGCUUUGAAGUGUGGACGCCAGUCUGCAUGGAGCCAACCUUGAAAUACCACCCUUUAACGUUUGAUGUUCUAACCUAGGCCCAUAAACUGGGUCGGGGACCGUGUCUGGUGGGUAGUUUGACUGGGGCGGUCUCCUCCUAAAGAGUAACGGAGGAGCACGAAGGUUGGCUAAGCAUGGUCGGACAUCAUGCGGUUAGUGCAAAGGCAUAAGCCAGCUUGACUGCGAGAGUGACGGCUCGAGCAGGUACGAAAGUAGGUCUUAGUGAUCCGGUGGUUCUGAAUGGAAGGGCCAUCGCUCAACGGAUAAAAGGUACUCCGGGGAUAACAGGCUGAUACCGCCCAAGAGUUCAUAUCGACGGCGGUGUUUGGCACCUCGAUGUCGGCUCAUCACAUCCUGGGGCUGAAGUAGGUCCCAAGGGUAUGGCUGUUCGCCAUUUAAAGUGGUACGCGAGCUGGGUUUAGAACGUCGUGAGACAGUUCGGUCCCUAUCUGCCGUGGGCGUUGGAAGAUUGAGAGGGGUUGCUCCUAGUACGAGAGGACCGGAGUGAACGCACCACUGGUGUUCGGGUUGUCAUGCCAAUGGCAUUGCCCGGUAGCUAAGUGCGGAAGAGAUAACCGCUGAAAGCAUCUAAGCGGGAAACUUGCCUCGAGAUGAGUCUUCCCUGUCGCUUUAAGUGACCUAAAGGAACGUUUAAGACUAAGACGUUGAUAGGCUGGGUGUGUAAGCGUAGCGAUACGUUGAGCUAACCAGUACUAAUGAACCGUGAGGCUUAACCUG